UGGGGAAUCUUCCGCAAUGGACGAAAGUCUGACGGAGCAACGCCGCGUGAGUGAAGACGGCCUUCGGGUUGUAAAGCUCUGUGAUCCGGGACGAAAGAGCCUGAGGUAAAUAGCCUAAGGAAGUGACGGUACCGGAAAAGCAAGCCACGGCUAACUACGUGCCAGCAGCCGCGGUAAUACGUAGGUGGAAAGCGUUGUCCGGAAUUAUUGGGCGUAAAGCGCGCGCAGGCGGCUUACUAAGUCCAUCUUAAAAGUGCGGGGCUUAACCCCGUGAUGGGAUGGAAACUGGAAAGCUGGAGUAUCGGAGAGGAAAGUGGAAUUCCUAGUGUAGCGGUGAAAUGCGUAGAGAUUAGGAAGAACACCGGUGGCGAAGGCGACUUUCUGGACGAAAACUGACGCUGAGGCGCGAAAGCGUGGGGAGCAAACAGG
rnacentral:rRNA from 1 species